UACGUAGGUGACAAGCGUUGUCCGGAUUUACUGGGCGUAAAGAGCGCGCAGGCGGUCGAUCAAGUCGAGUGUGAAAAGCCCCCGGCUCAACUGGGGAGGGUCAUUCGAUACUGAUCGACUCGAAGGCAGGAGAGGGUAGUGGAAUUCCCGGUGUAGUGGUGAAAUGCGUAGAUAUCAGGAAGAACACCCGUGGCGAAGGCGGUUCCCUGGGACGGUACUGACGCUGAGACGCGAAAGCGUGGGGAGCGAACAGG
rnacentral:rRNA from 1 species